ACGCUCGACACCUACUGGAGGCAGCAGUGAGGAAUAUUGGUCAAUGGACGCAAGUCUGAACCAGCCAUGCCGCGUGCAGGAUGACGGCUCUAUGAGUUGUAAACUGCUUUUGUACGAGGGUAAACGCAGAUACGUGUAUCUGUCUGAAAGUAUCGUACGAAUAAGGAUCGGCUAACUCCGUACCAGCAGCCGCGGUAAUCUGAGCGGGCUGGCAAGGC
rnacentral:rRNA from 1 species